UUCCCUGCUAUUCGGCGUUGAUCUACGGGCAGGUAGCCCAGAGGGAGGGUGACAUGGGGCCCACCUCUCUCUCGGAGUGCGGACUUCACUCACCAGGCAUUUCCUCCCGAGGCAACUGAACAGCGCUUCGUUCUCCUGCGGGGUCAGCAGCAUCGAGCCGACAUUGUUGGCCCGGGGCCGGUUGCUGCUCUGCUGGUUGGAAAUCAUUCUGGACUCUCGCGGUCGGUCGGUCGCUCCCUCUCCGGCCUGUGUGCCGCCUCUCAGCUGCGGCGCAUUGCGGACGGUCGAGCGAGAGCAGGCGGGUCCUCUUCCAGGGCAGUGCCGUUCCCUGCGCGCGCGGGCGGGGGGAGGCGAGUUAUUGGUGGGGAGGGGGACUCGGGCGCAGCCGCUGUCUGUCUCACUCGCUCGCGCCCCAGUUCAAACUUGUCCCUCAACUUUCAGCCCAACGGAAACCAACAUGGCUCCCGGAGUACACCAUCCGAUACACCCCGCCUCCUCCCUCCCCGGAGGGAAGCUGCAAAAUGCAAUUCCAUCUCGACGCGCCGCCCAUCGCAAACGACGCCUUCCCCUCAUCCCUCCCGAAGCGGAGUUCGAACCCGAGUCCCUCCGCCGCCCCGCUCGGAGCGAGGGAAAGCUGCAAGGCAUGGCGUCGGCGGUUCCGCACCAAGUUGCGGAUGGCCUCGACCUGCUUGACGCACCGGGGACAGACUUCAUUCAUUUUAAACGGGUGGACUUUCAGCGCUCAGGGAAUCCAGAAGUUCUCGUAGAUAUGGGUGGUGCUGAAGUUGGAUGUCCUCUUCCCAUGGGAUCAACAGAGAUGGCCACAACACCAGACCCUGCACACCUGGUCCAUGGUUGCACCAGGUUAUUGCAGUCUCCAUGAUUCGAAAAUACAGUGGCUACAGGAUGCCGCCACACUCGCAGCUGCCAGAGCUGUCACUGAGGCCGCAACACCAAGGAGGAAACAUGCUGAAGCAAUCCCUGCUGCUGACUGGAGCCAGAAUGCUACCUCUGUCAAAAGCUGUUCUUGAGGCCACAACACCAAGAAUGAAGCUCCUGCCACUGCUGACUGGACCCAGAAUAUCUCCUUUGCCAAAAUGACCUUAUCACAGCCGAUACUUCAGCCGUCACUAUACCCAGGAGAUUGUCCCAACUCUCACCUUUUAAGAAACAAUUGUCUGUCUCACUUAACUCCCAAGGAUCAAGAGACCUUCAUGAUGCUGCAGACAUUGCCAAAACAUCAGCUGAAGACAAUGGACCCCGUUCAUUAGCAGCAAUCUUCAGCCAAAGUGCCAAGUGGAUGAUCUAUCUUGGCUCAUUUAGUGGUCCCCAGCAUGACAGAUACCAGCCUUCAGCCUGUUUGAUUCAAACUACAUGAUGUAUGACUCUAUAUCAAGAAAUGGUUGGAGGCACUGGAUACUACAAAGGCUAGGGGCCCUGAUAACAUUCCAGCAAAACUAUUGAUGAUUUGUGUUUGAAGUGAUUUUAAGUUCCCCUAGCCAGGCUGUUCCAAUAUGGUUGCAACACUGGCAUCUACCCAACAAUGUGGAAAAUUGCCCAGGUCUGUCCUGUACAUACAAAGCAGGACAAAUCUAACUCAAGCCAGUCAUUGCCCCAUUGGCCUACUCUCUGUCAUCAGUAAAGUGAUGGAAGGUGUCAUCAACAGUGCUAUCAAGCAGCACCUGCUCAGCAAUAACCUACUCAGUGAGUCCCAGUCUAGAUUCUGCCAGGACCACUCAGCUCCUGACCUCAUUACAGCCAACAGAAUUGAAUUCCAGAGAUGAUGUGAAAGUGACAGCCCUUGACAUCAAGACUGCAUUCCAUCACGAGUAGCAUCCAAGGAGCCCUAGUUAAACUAGAAUCAAUUGGUAUUGGGGGCAAACUGUCCAUUGGUUGGAGUCAUACCUGGCACAUAGAUGGUUGUAGUUGUUGGAGCUCAGUCAUCUCAGCAACAGGACAUUUGUGCAGGACUUCCUCAGCCUAAGCCCAGUCAUUACUAACUGCUUCAUCAAUGGCCCAUCCUGCCCCUCAUAAGGUCAGAAGUGGGGAUGUUCGCUGAUGAUAGCACAACAUUCAGCACCAUCUGAAACUCCUCAGACACUGAAGCAGUCCAUGUUCAAAUGCAACAAGAUCUGGACAAUAUCCAGCCUUGGGCUGACAAGUGACAAGUAGCAAUUAUGCCACACAAAAGCCAGGCAAUGACCAUCACCAAUAAGAGAUGAUCUAAUCACUGCCCUUUGACAUUCACUGGUGUUGCCAUCACUGAAUCCCCCACUAUCAACAUCCUUGGGGUUACUAUUGACCAGAAACUCAACUGGACUCACCACACAAACACAGUGGUUACAAGAGCACGUCAGAGGUCAAAAAUACUGCAGCGAGUAACUCACCUCCUGACUCCUCAAAGUCUGUCUAUCAAUGACAAGGCACAAGUAAGGAGAGUGAUGGAAUACUCUCAACUUGCCUGGAUAAGUGUAGCUCUAACAAUACUCAAGAAGUUUGACACCAUCUAAGACAAAGCAGCCCACUUCAUUGGCACCAUAUCUGUAAACAUCCACUCCCUCCACCACUGACACUCCGUAGUACACACUGGUGCUAGCUACAAAAUGCACUGCAGAAAUUCACCAGAAAUCCUUAGAUAACACCUUCUCAAAUCAAUUACCACUUGCAUCUCGAAGGACAAGGACAGAAGACACCUGGAAACACCACCAGCAGCAAGUUCCCCUCAAAGCCACUCACGAUCCUGACUUAGAAAUGUAUUGCCGUUCCUUUACUGUCACUGGAUCAGAAUUCCCUCCCUCAGGGUAUUGCGUGUCACUCUACAGUAUAUUCAAGAAGGCAGCCAACGAUUAUUUCUCGAGGGCAACUAGCAACAGGCAAUAAAUGCUGGCCAGCCAGCAAUGCCUACAUCCCACAAGUGAAUAAAGAAAAAGAAAACUAGCCUUGAGUCUGGUCACAACAACAGAAACUCCAAUGUAUUUAUCCACAAUGCAAAGUAAUGAAAUAACUCCAAAUUAGUCCACAACAGGUUCCUAAAAUAGUAAAACAGCCAUGUAACGAUAUAUCUCUGAAUGAUCUUAUAUAUGGGUGCAUUCUAAACACAGUCUCUCUGUAAAUCUUUCUUCCUCCCCAGCAUCUUCAGCAGCUGAAUGGACCACUUGGCUGCAGCAUCAAAUUCUGGAAGGUGUGUCCCUUUUAAGCAUAAUUUCCGACUCAGUCCCAGCUUUUCACUGCCUUGUUCAGAU